GAGUUUGAUCCUGGCUCAGAACGAACGCUGGCGGCGUGCUUAACACAUGCAAGUCGAACGUGAUUGAGAGCUUGCUCUCAUGAAAGUGGCGCACGGGUGAGUAACACGUGGAUAAUCUGCCUGGCGAUUCGGGAUAACACUUCGAAAGGGGUGCUAAUACCGGAUAAGCCCACGGUCUCUUCGGAGAGCGCGGGAAAAGGGGGCCUCUGUAUAUGCUCCUGUCGCUAGAUGAGUCCGCGGCCCAUUAGCUAGUUGGUAGGGUAAUGGCCUACCAAGGCUACGAUGGGUAGCUGGUCUGAGAGGAUGAUCAGCCACACUGGAAUUGAGACACGGUCCAGACUCCUACGGGAGGCAGCAGUGGGGAAUUUUGCGCAAUGGGCGAAAGCCUGACGCAGCAACGCCGCGUGAGUGAUGAAGGCCUUCGGGUCGUAAAGCUCUGUCAGAGGGGAAGAACCGCCGGGUGGCUAAUACCUGCCUGGUCUGACGGUACCCUCAAAGGAAGCACCGGCUAACUCCGUGCCAGCAGCCGCGGUAAUAC
rnacentral:rRNA from 1 species